GAUGAACGCUGGCGGCGUGCCUAAUACAUGCAAGUCGAGCGAACGGACGAGAAGCUUGCUUCUCUGAUGUUAGCGGCGGACGGGUGAGUAACACGUGGAUAACCUACCUAUAAGACUGGGAUAACUUCGGGAAACCGGAGCUAAUACCGGAUGAUAUUUUGAACCGCAUGGUUCAAAAGUGAAAGACGGUCUUGCUGUCACUUAUAGAUGGAUCCGCGCUGCAUUAGCUAGUUGGUAAGGUAACGGCUUACCAAGGCAACGAUGCAUAGCCGACCUGAGAGGGUGAUCGGCCACACUGGAACUGAGACACGGUCCAGACUCCUACGGGAGGCAGCAGUAGGGAAUCUUCCGCAAAGGGCGAAAGCCUGACGGAGCAACGCCGCGUGAGUGAUGAAGGUCUUCGGAUCGUAAAACUCUGUUAUUAGGGAAGAACAUAUGUGUAAGUAACUGUGCACAUCUUGACGGUACCUAAUCAGAAAGCCACGGCUAACUACGUG
rnacentral:rRNA from 1 species